rnacentral:lncRNA from 1 species
UUGCCAUGGCAAUAAUCUGCAAUUGUGCAGAAAAUCCACAGAACUCGUGAGCAACUCCUUAGUGGAUUGGGCUGAAAGAAAAUCAAACCCGUGAAAGCCCUGAAUUGAUGUGGUUAUGAAAGCGCAUUGGCCAAGCUGGCUUUCCUUCCUCUGACCCCCAUCUAACUAUGGUGAACGCCCUCGUGCCCACAGGUCUAAGAAAGUCAAGGACUUGAUAUUUACCAUUCAUUGGCUCUACACAAAUGGGGAUCUGCACUCAGAAGCCACAGAAAAAGAAGAAAAUGCAGUUCACCACCUCCCAGCAGUCCUGGUGGUGUAGGAGGAUGCGCCGAGGCCAAUCUUUGAUGGCUGCUGGUUACUUCCUCAUGAGCAGUGUUAGGCUGGGGACAGCAGGCCGGAAAGGAGUGCUUGGAGAGUGUCUUGACCUUCACAGAUGUCUUGCAAAAGGAAGGAUCGAAUGGCACACAUCUGUGAAUAGACAGCCACAUCUCUGCUGCCAGAAUACAGCUGCUGAGGUGUUUGGGGCUUACUUGGAGAAAUGAGGACAUUGAUCUGGGUGAAUGGUAGUAGCUGUACACAUACAAAGUACUGUUCACUUCUUUGCUAAGGUUUUAUGUACACUCUGAGGAUAUCAGAGAAUUCGGAGAAAAUCCAUGGCACAGAUUGGAUGCAUAAUACAUGUACGUACUUGGGGAUGAGGCUCCCAGGCUCCUGAUAGCAGGUAGAGGAGAGAACGAGACCGCAAAGAGGGAAGCCGAGAGGAGUGAUGAAGACCCUGGCCCUACCAUCUACUCAGGCUGUCUUUGCAGCCACACUGUGAGCCCAGGCUGGUUAACGCUUCCUCCUGGAGGAGAAAAGCUAAGAGAGAAAACAAAAUCCAUGCAGCGCGCUCCCCCUCGGCCCCUCCUCUCUGUCUCCUCUGUGCGCUAACCUCCAAUGCCCUGCGGGAACCAAUUACAGUAUUCUAAUGAGUGUA